GAUGAACGCUGGCGGCGUGCCUAAUACAUGCAAGUCGCGCGAACAGACCAGGAGCUUGCUCCUCUGGCGUUAGCUGCGGCCUGGUGAGUAACACGUGGAUACCCUACUUAUAAGACUCUGAUAACUUCGGGAAACCGGAGCUAAUACCGGAUAAUAUAUUUAACCGCAUGGUUCAAUAGGGAAAGACGCCUUUGCUGUCACUUAUAGAUGGCUCCGCGCCGCAUUAGCUAGUUGCUAAGGUACCGGCUUACCAAGGCAACGAUGCGUAGCCGACCUGGGAGGGGGGGCGGACAGACUGGAACUGGGACACGGCCGAGACUCCUACGGGAGGCAGCGGUGGCGAAUCAUACGCAAGGCGUGAAGGCCGGACGGAGCAACGACGCGUCAGGGCUGAAGGGCUUCGGAUCGUAAGAAGGUGUUAUUCGGGAAGAAAAAAUGUGUAAGUAACUAAGCACGGCUUCACGGUACCGAAUCAGAAAGCCACGGCUAGCCGCGUC
rnacentral:rRNA from 1 species